GAGUAACGCGUAAUCAACCUGCCCUUCAGAGGCGUACAACAGUUGGAAACGACUGCUAAUACCGCAUACGAUCCAAUCUCGGCAUCGAGACUGGAUGAAAGGUGGCCUCUAUUUAUAAGCUAUCACUGAAGGAGGGGAUUGCGUCUGAUUAGCUAGUUGGAGGGGUAACGGCCCACCAAGGCGAUGAUCAGUAGCCGGUCUGAGAGGAUGAACGGCCACAUUGGGACUGAGACACGGCCCAGACUCCUACGGGAGGCAGCAGUGGGGAAUCUUCCGCAAUGGACGAAAGUCUGACGGAGCAACGCCGCGUGAGUGAUGACGGCCUUCGGGUUGUAAAGCUCUGUUAAUCGGGACGAAUGGUUCUUGUGCGAAUAGUGCGAGGAUUUGACGGUACCGGAAUAGAAAGCCACGGCUAACUACGUGCCAGCAGCCGCGGUAAUACGUAGGUGGCAAGCGUUGUCCGGAAUUAUUGGGCGUAAAGCGCGCGCAGGCGGAUUGGUCAGUCUGUCUUAAAAGUUCGGGGCUUAACCCCGUGAUGGGAUGGAAACUGCCAAUCUAGAGUAUCGGAGAGGAAAGUGGAAUUCCUAGUGUAGCGGUGAAAUGCGUAGAUAUUAGGAAGAACACCAGUGGC
rnacentral:rRNA from 1 species